CACCCAUGGUCAAAGCUGUCUUUUAGUCCAUCAAUUAUUAAGUAGAUCAAGGAAAGGAGAGAGAUCAACAUUCCAGAGGAGUAGGUGGACCUGAAGUUUCCUCGUCCCUCAAACAGCAGUGUUGAGGACAGAGGCCUUGGAAUUCCAAGAGUCUGGGCUGCAGAGUGACAGAGACGUGUCCUGGGGCCCACGGAGACGACUUGGCAGGCCAUGGCAAUGUGCCAGGGAAUGGAAUACAAGAUGAAACAGACACAUUCCUGCCCUUCUGGAGCUCUCUGACUAGUGCGAGAAUCAGACAGAUGUAUUAAUCUGGCUGCUGUAUGAAGAAUGGACUUGAAGGAGUAAACAGAAGGCAGAGUGGCCAGUUGGGAGAGAUAAUGAGAGUCUGGACUCAGGGGACAGCGAUGGGGACAGAUUCGUAAAAUUGGCAGGAUUUGCUGUGGAGAAAGAGCUACUGGACAGAGAGAAGAGGGGAUGACUGAAUAAGGACCAUGAAGUAGCAGGAAAGGAUGGACUCAAAAGAAAAGAUGGAGAAUAUAUCAGUUUCCUAAGGCCACUGAAGCAAAUGCCACAACUGAAUGGCCUAAAACAACAGAAAUGUAGUAUCUUACAGUUCUGGAGUCUAGAAGCCUGAAGUCAAGGUGGAUCAUGCUCUCUCAGACUCUGGGUAGAAACUUUCCUUGCCUCUUCCUAGCUUCUGAUGGUGGCCAUUGGUCUUCACCUGUCACUGUGUGUGUGUGUGUGUGCGUGUGUGUCCAAAUUUCCUUCUUAAUGACCUCAUUUGCGCUUGAUUCCAUUCACAAAGACCCUAUUUCCAGCAAGGUCACAUUCACAAGUACCAGAGGUUAGGACACCAACCUAUCUUUUUGGAGAACACCAUUCAACCCCUAACAAAGGAGUUGAUCUUGAAAAAAACCACAACCCUAACAGAGGGAUUGAUCUUGAGAAAAGGUAUCUCAUCCUCUGAGAAAAAAAGGUAGGAUGGGAAUGGAUGUAGAUAAGAUUGUAGGUAAAGAGGGCAGGACGUUGACACAGUUCAUGCCUAAUAGCCUCAAUGAUCAUAUGUUGAGAGUAAACUGGGGCAGAGUUGAACAAGGAGCUUAAAGAGAGUGGCAAAGAUCUAGAAAAGUUAUUAAAGGGAAUGGACAAACUAACCUAGGGCGAGUGAAAAGAUUGAUGGAUGAAGGUGGUGAGGGUUCACUUAAGGCAAGAAAGUGAAGUGAGUGAAAUGGUACCCCCACUCCUGCCAAAAAAGGAAGGGGAUGUUUACAGCAGAUCAAAGAAUUCAGCAAGAUUAAUGCAGGAGAGUGGAAGAAAUCCACAUUAGGAGGAGGCAGCAGGGGGUCAGAGCUGGGAUGCUAACAGAGGGUGAGACUGCCUUUCCCCUGACUGAAGAGUGAGACGCAUGUCUGGAAGAAACUGGCUGCAUAUAAUUUAAUUCUGACACAUAUUGGAAUAGACUAUUCAUUCCUUGAAAAAUAUGGCCAAGACUCAGUGAAGACAAAAAGUGUUUUUGGCUGCUUUACAAUUUGUAAAGACUUUUCACAUAGGCUGUUCUAUCUAAAGCAAGAACCACAUCUUACACAAAUUCCCAUAGAACUUAGUUAAGUACACGAGGGACUCAGAAUAAGCUUGUUUCUUGUGGAUUCACACAUUUUACUUGAAACAAAGAAACCAGUCUACUAUGUCUGCGACAAUGCACAGAAAUCUAAGGAAGAAACUAGGCAUAGACAGGUACAUUUUGAUGGGAGAAAAAGGAAUAGAAGAGAUGUAGUUGAUAAGACUUGCAAAGUGUCAUAGAAAAGGGCUUGGAAUCUGGAGUCAGAUACACCUCUGUUGGUUUUUGAUUUGUGUGUGUGUGACUAUAGUGGAAGCCAUAUGUCUGUUUCUUGUCUCAGAAAUGAUGACCAGGAUGGCAAACUUGCCAAGAGGCCGAAUGAAAACCAAGAUGGGUCACAUUUGGCCAGCAUGGAGCUUUUUUAAAAGUUGAGUUUGAAUGCAUUUAGCCAGGGUCCUAUCCAUUUGCUAUAAAAACAAAGGAAAGGGGAAAACAUCACAUCAUUAUGAAAUUCUGGAUACCGACUAUUGUCAAAGUGACCAGGUUGUUUUCCACUAUCUAGUGGAAAUGGUGGCCAAGAUAUGAGUUAACUCCAACUGCAGAAAAUUACAGAUAGCUACAUUUCUUAAUAACCUCAGUUUGUAGCCUAUGAGAUUCGUACCCACUAUGCUGGUCAAUCUGAAUGAUCACCAUUUGGAUUUUCUCAGCUCUUUAGUGGUUAUAGUUGUGUGUUUAACACUAUAUCUUUAUUUUUAUUAUUAUUCUUGCUAGGAACAGGUCUACUUCAUUCAAAUAUCCUGUUCCCCCCUACUCUGCCAUUUGUGCUGUAGCAUCUGGCUCGGUCACCACAAGUGGUUGAAGCUUAAGACCAACACUAAUGUAACUUACAGAAA